CUUAAAGGAAUUGACGGGGGCCCGCACAAGCGGUGGAGCAUGUGGUUUAAUUCGAUGCAACGCGAAGAACCUUACCUACUCUUGACAUCCAGAGAACUUAGCAGAGAUGCUUUGGUGCCUUCGGGAACUCUGAGACAGGUGCUGCAUGGCUGUCGUCAGCUCGUGUUGUGAAAUGUUGGGUUAAGUCCCGCAACGAGCGCAACCCUUAUCCUUUGUUGCCAGCGAUUCGGUCGGGAACUCAAAGGAGACUGCCAGUGAUAAACUGGAGGAAGGUGGGGAUGACGUCAAGUCAUCAUGGCCCUUACGAGUAGGGCUACACACGUGCUACAAUGGCAUAUACAAAGAGAAGCGACCUCGCGAGAGCAAGCGGACCUCAUAAAGUAUGUCGUAGUCCGGAUUGGAGUCUGCAACUCGACUCCAUGAAGUCGGAAUCGCUAGUAAUCGUAGAUCAGAAUGCUACGGUGAAUACGUUCCCGGGCCUUGUACACACCGCCCGUCACACCAUGGGAGUGGGUUGCAAAAGAAGUAGGUAGCUUAACCUUCGGGAGGGCGCUUACCACUUUGUGAUUCAUGACUGGGGUGAAGUCGUAACAAGGUAAC
rnacentral:rRNA from 1 species